GAAAUGGGAUUAUUUCUUCCUUUUGACCUGAUCUGCAUGUAUUUAUUAGUAUUUAGUAAGCACUGAAGGUCUGACUGACCUAAAGUAUGAAGUUCUGUGACCGAGCUUUCAAAAUUAAAAUACAUUUAUAAAGAAAGCGCAGCAAAAUUAUUUCUAAGCAGUAUCACCAGACAGUGUCUUUGAACUCUUCUAGAAACACUUAAAUUAUUUAAACAGAGAAACACGAAUUUAACUGUGUUAUUGCCGGAUUGAAGCAACGGAUCUUCAAUUUGUAGGUCGGAUGUUACGUGUUAACAAUGGCUUAUGAAAGAGUCAUCAUUGGCACAGGGGCUACAGUGGCUAAACAUUUUCAUAAGUUUUAAGGGUUAUUAUAAAAACAUAGUUUCCUGUUAUAAUGCAAGGUACUUAUUAUUUAGCAGUCAUUUUCUUAUGCAAAACAUAAACGUGCCAAAAACAUUUAAUAAAAGUAAAGGCAUGCGAAACGCGAGAUUAUACACCCAGAUCUUCGAUGAUGUUUAACCGAUACUUUCAAUACUGAAUAUAUCACAAAGUAAAUACAGUUUAAAUUACAUAAAUAAUGCAUAUCUUUGCUUAUAUUUUAGUUUAUAAAGAAUUUCUUAGAAUUUGUCUGACGGAAAUGAUGAAUAUGUGAUAUUGAAUGUUAUUUGCCUGUCUCAUAAAUUUAUUAAGUAUAAGGGAAGAAACCAGCUUUCAUUGUACAAGAAAGACGAUGCCUUUAUUACGUUUAAUAUUUACGUGAAUAACCUGUCCCUGUAAUAUUAAUUUUUUAUUUUUUUUUUUUUUUUUCAGGCAACGGAACUUCGUCUCUUAAUUAAGGAGGUCUACGAAAGUUACACGAGUGACUUUUCUGACGAAAUUAACUCUAAUUUGUUCUACUUGAUGGAAAACAGUGAUGUUCAAGAUAGCAGUCCCCCUGACGAGUCUAAGAACGACCACGGAGUCAAAUCAGUCCCAUCAAUUGCUGAUCACGUGAAACUGAUGAAGAGAAAUUGCAAAAGAAGAUUCUCCGAACUGGAAAACAUACCUUUAGACAUGAGGGUUCAAGCCAAGAGAAACAAAAAAAAAAUCAGCUCAUAAACGGAGAAAAGUUAGCGGUGAUGUUAAUUGACUGGUAAAUUUUCUUGGCCGCUAAAGAAGUCCCUCUCCUGCUGUAUCAUACAGAUCAACAUGCCAGAUCUGGGAAAACUUUUUCCUCCAG